UUUCCCAUUUAUUUGCUGCUAUAGUCUUUCAGUGAUAUGAGCAGUUAUACGCAUGGGAUACAAAAACAUUGGGCCAUUGCAAGUUGAGAUGGAAUAAUGGUUUCCUCUCUUCUGCAUAGUCUAGACAUUG
ensembl:snoRNA